AACGCAUAUUGCACUCUCUGGUAUUCCGGGGAGUAUGCCUGUUUCAGUAUCAUUGAUCACAUUCAUUCUACAAUGGAGUUGGACUCUUCUGCCUUUCGAAAAAAGGCUGGUCCCAAAGAAUCGUCGGCAAUUAAGGAGAGAAUUGUCAAAGCGCAAUAGUUGAUCCUCGAAAGGGAUCGUCUUUCGCUUUAUUUCUCUCUUUUCUUGCGAAAAGUCAUAUAUUUGUCUGUAUCUAAAGAUGCAGAUGAAUGUGCAUUUCAUCUUGAUCUGAAAUCAGGUAGGGUUACCCGCUGAACUUAA
rnacentral:misc_RNA from 1 species